rnacentral:misc_RNA from 1 species
AUUUUAUAAAAAAAAAAAAAAAGACACGCAUGAAUAUGCACGCGCAUUUAGUGCCUUCUGAGUACUGUCCUCUGCUUAAUUAACGGUAGUGAUUUUUUCUGCUAAAUUAUGCGGGCUUCCUUGCCUCGCUGAGACCCAUGUGCACGCAGGCUGCCAGCAGAACCAUUGUCUUAAUCAUCUGGUUCUGAAGCAUGCUUGAUCACUAUAAUUCUCAUCUCCUGGUUUUCAAAUAUAUUUGUUGUAUAAACAUUUUUCUUGUGUUAUCCUUCUAGUAGAAAAUGUUUAAAUCAUUUGCGUUAUUUUUAAGUCGUAGAAUCCCACUGGGCAGAAGCAGAAGAUUUUUUUUCUUUUCUUAUCAGGACCAGGAGAUUGAAAAUUAACUGGGCCAAUCUGUGUUCUGACAAAUUUGAUUCCUGAAUAUUAAUCACCCAGGUUUUUCUUUUUUUUCUUCCACACAUUUCAAGCACAUGCAUUUUUUUCUUGCCUUCUUUCAUCCUGCAGGAAAAGCCUAAAAAGGAUGGUUCCAUGCCUAUUGAGGAGGCAAUAGAAGAUUCAGAGAACUAGACUGAUUUUCUCAUGGGCUUUGGAGAAGAAGAGUGAUACUUAGCUACUUUUGUACUUCAAACAAGAAGUUUCUUGGAGGCAUAUGUAUUACGAAAUCCAGUGAUUGAAACUAAGAGUUGAUUAGAUCAAUGAAAGGUUGGAGUAAGUUUCAUGAUUGUCCUUGCCAAA